AGAUGUGCAGGUGAUCUGGCUGCCACAUCUGUCACCCCAUUGAUCACCAGGGUUAAUUGGGGGGGGGGGAUCUGGCUGCCUAGGCAGGUGUCCCCCUCCUCCCUCACCGAUCCAUGUGCGUCCCUCCCAAAGCUGCACCUUCCCCCCAGAGGAGAGGACCAGUCUUCGGUCAAGGGUAUAGCAAUAGCUGCACUCCCCUGCUAGAACCUCCGAGCAAGCUCUCAAGAAUCCUAAUUUGCAAGCCCACAGAAGGACAUUUUCUAAGGAAAAGUCUAAUGUUUACGUGGAUUA
rnacentral:snRNA from 1 species